AUUGAACGCUGGCGGCAUGCUUUACACAUGCAAGUCGAACGGUAACAGGUUAAGCUGACGAGUGGCGAACGGGUGAGUAAUGCAUCGGAACGUGCCCGAUCGUGGGGGAUAACGCAGCGAAAGCUGCGCUAAUACCGCAUACGAUCUGAGGAUGAAAGCGGGGGACCGUAAGGCCUCGCGCGAUCGGAGCGGCCGAUGUCAGAUUAGGUAGUUGGUGGGGUAAAGGCUCACCAAGCCAACGAUCGGUAGCUGGUCUGAGAGGACGACCAGCCACACUGGGACUGAGACCAGGCCCAGACUCCUACGGGAGGCAGCAGUGGGGAAUUUUGGACAAGGGGCGAAAGCCUGAUCCAGCAAUGCCGCGUGCAGGAAGAAGGCCUUCGGGUUGUAAACUGCUUUUGUACGGAGCGAAAAGGCUCUCUCUAAUACAGGGGGCUCAUGACGGUACCGUAAGAAUAAGCACCGGCUAACUACGUGCCAGCCGCCGCCGUAACAC
rnacentral:rRNA from 1 species